rnacentral:tRNA from 2 species
GCGUCGCUAGCUCAACUGGCAGAGCAGCUGGCUCUUAACCAGCGGGUUCGGGGUUCGAGUCCCUGGCGGCGCA